rnacentral:rRNA from 1 species
CACGUAGGAGGCAAACGUUAUCCGGAUUUACUGGGCGUAAAGCGCGUGUAGGUGGUUUGGUAAGUAGGGCGUGAAAGCUCCUGGCUCAACUGGGAGAGGACGUCCUAAACUGCCAAGCUUGAGGAUGGUAGAGGGAGGUGGAAUUCCGGGUGUAGCGGUGGAAUGCGCAGAUAUCCGGAGGAACACCAGUGGCGAAGGCGGCCUCCUGGACCACUCCUGACACUCAGACGCGAAAGCUAGGGUAGCAAACGGGAUUAGAUACCCCCGUAGUCC